CUACGGGUUGCACCAGUGAGGAAUAUUGGUCAAUGGGGGAAACCCUGAACCAGCGACGCCGCGUGUGGGAUGACGGAGCUUCGCUCUGUAAACCACUGUCGGAAGGGAAGAAAAGUCUGUUCAGCAGACUGGGACAGUACCUUUAAAGGAAGGAUCGGCUAACUACGUGCCAGCAGCCGCGGUAAUACGUAGGAUCCAAGCGUUGUCCGGAUUUACUGGGUGUAAAGGGUGCGCAGGCGGACUUGUGCGUCAGAGGUUAAAUGUCACCGCUCAACGGUGAACCUGCCUUUGAUACGGCGAGUCUUGAGUACGAGAGAGGUAGGUAGAAUUCCUGGUGUAGCGGUGAAAUGCGUAGAUAUCAGGAGGAAUACCAGUGGCGAAGGCGGCCUACUGGCUCGUAACUGACGCUCAUGCACGAAAGCGUGGGUAGCGAACAGGAUUAGAUACCCCAGUAGUC
rnacentral:rRNA from 1 species